CCUACGGGGAGCUGCAGUGAGGAAUAUUGGUCAAUGGGCGCGAGCCUGAACCAGCCAAGUAGCGUGAAGGAUGACUGCCCUAAGGGUUGUAAACUUCUAUUAUAAAGAAAUAAAGUGAGGCAUGUGUGCCUUUUUGUAUGUACUUUAUGACAAAGGAUAGGCUAACUCCGUGCCAGCAGACGCGGUAUUACGUAGGGGGCAAGCGUUAUCCGGAUUUAUUGGGGUUAAAGGGAGCGUAGAUGGGUUGUUAAGUCAGUUUUGAAAGUUUGCGGCUCAACCGUAAAAUUGCAAUUGAUACUGGCAGUCUUGAGUACAGUUGAGGUAGGCGGAAUUCGUGGUGUAGCGGUGAAAUGCUUAGAUAUCACGAAGAACUCCGAUUGCGAAGGCAGCUUACUAAACUGCCACUGACAUUGAUGCUCGAAAGUGUGGGUAUCAAACAGGAUUAGAUACCCUUGUAGUC
rnacentral:rRNA from 1 species